rnacentral:rRNA from 1 species
GACGAACGCUGGCGGCGUGCCUAAUACAUGCAAGUCGAACGCAGUGGGGACGGGUGAGUAACACGUGGGUAACCUCCCAUCAGAGGGGAUAACACUUGGAAACAGGUGCUAAACCGAUACUGAUGGAUGGACCCGCGGGGCAUUAGCUAGUUGGGGAGGUAACGGCUGACGAAGGCCACGAUGCAUAGCCGACCUGGGAGGGUGAUCGGCCGCGUGGGGACUGAGAAACGGGCCAGACUCCUUCGGGAGGCCGCAGUAGGGAAUCGUCGGCAAUGGACGAAAGUCUGGCCGAGGAACGCCGCGUGAGUGAAGGAGGUUUUCGGAUCGUAAAACUCUGUUGUGAGAGGAGCGGUAUCUAACCAGAAAGCCACGGCUAACUACGUGCCAGCAGCCGCGGUAAUUC